UAUCUAAGAUAAGAAUCAAUUAAUUAUUUAUCAUUAAGUUGUUGAUUAAUCGAGUUCUUACUUCAUUACGGAAAAGCUGACCAAUCAUUCCUCCGUUCCAAUGUGUUCCAUUUGGCCUUCCAAACCUGAAAUUUAUUUGAUAGCACAAAGGAGGAUUAAAAAACGCGGCAACUUGCAAUUCUCGGCCCUCUAGAUCAACAAUGCCACUUUGAUGAUUCAUUUCUUCGAUCCUGAAACAAUAAUAAUAUUUUAGACAACGACCACCUCGCAGACCUCGAGAUGACAUUGACACUGGAAUAUCCAUAGAGAGUGACAUUGAGUAA